rnacentral:rRNA from 1 species
CUCCUGGAAACGGGUGGUAAUGCCGGAUGUUCCACAUGAUCGCAUGUGAUUGUGGGAAAGAUUCUAUCGGCGUGGGAUGGGGUCGCGUCCUAUCAGCUUGUUGGUGAGGUAACGGCUCACCAAGGCUUCGACGGGUAGCCGGCCUGAGAGGGCGACCGGCCACAUUGGGACUGAGAUACGGCCCAGACUCCUACGGGAGGCAGCAGUGGGGAAUAUUGCACAAUGGGCGCAAGCCUGAUGCAGCGACGCCGCGUGAGGGAUGGAGGCCUUCGGGUUGUAAACCUCUUUUGUUUGGGAGCAAGCCUUCGGGUGAGUGUACCUUUCGAAUAAGCGCCGGCUAACUACGUGCCAGCAGCCGCGGUAAUACGUAGGGCGCAAGCGUUAUCCGGAUUUAUUGGGCGUAAAGGGCUCGUAGGCGGCUCGUCGCGUCCGGUGUGAAAGUCCAUCGCUUAACGGUGGAUCUGCGCCGGGUACGGGCGGGCUGGAGUGCGGUAGGGGAGACUGGAAUUCCCGGUGUAACGGUGGAAUGUGUAGAUAUCGGGAAAGAACACCA